UAUCUACUCCCUCCAUCCGGCAUUACUUGUCGCACAAAUGAAUAAAAAAGGAUGCAUCUAGAACUAAAAUACAUCUAGAUACAUCCAUUCUUGUGACAAGUAUUUCCGGACGGAGGGAGUAUUAU
rfam:Hordeum vulgare subsp. vulgare, WGS project CAJW01000000 data, contig: morex_contig_233514